UCUAACUGCAGUUAAAAGUGCUUGACAAUUAGUUAUGCCCAAUGCUCUUCCAUGGAAUAUCUUCCCUAUACCAGGAUGCAAAUGGUGUAUUUCUUGCUGCUUGUUGCAUGGAUAAUAGGUUUACAGAUUUGACUACAACUAUACGUUGGCUCAUUACUGUCAAAAUUUGCAGAGUUUGAUUUUUGACCUUGCAAAAGAGCGCAUGCAUGGUGGCUGCAUAGAAGGAUGAUGAUGGAGACUGGUAUGAGACAGGCCUGCACAUAUUUUGUAAGCUUAGUGUCUUUGACUGAUUGCAAUAGGGUCAAUGCAAUGACAGUCUGGUUAUGCAUGAGUAGUUCACAUUUCAAGUACUGAAUGGGCUUUCUUGCUGGAACAAAAGAAGAAAUCUAUAUGCUAGUUGAUUUCCUGAAUGUUUUAUUUUUGAGGUAUCAUGUGAUGCUUUGAUUGAAAGGCUUGACUUGUUUUUGUUUGACCCUGUAAUGGUACUGGUGGGCUUGCCUCUCGAUCUGAUAUUACCCAUCAUGGGCUGGGCCAUGUUUUUUUUUUUUUUUUUUUUUUGUGCCUUAUUGUUUUCAGGUUAAAAUAACCAAUCCAAAGAAGCACUAUGUGCGUCCUAACAUAGGCAUUGUUUUACC